ACAGUGAUGGAAAGAUGAAAAGAACUUUGAAAAGAGAGUGAAAAAGUACGUGAAAUUGUUGAAAGGGAAGGGCAUUUGAUCAGACAUGGCGUUUGCUUCGGCUUUCGCUGGGCCAGCAUCAGUUUUAGCGGUUGGAUAAAUCCUCGGGAAUGUGGCUCUGCUUCGGUAGAGUGUUAUAGCCCGUGGGAAUACAGCCAGCUGGGACUGAGGAUUGCGACUUUCAAGGAUGCUGGCGUAAUGGUUAAAUGCCG
rnacentral:rRNA from 1 species